CUAACUUUUUUGGGAUGCUUUCACCUACACACUCAAUGACUCAAACCAAACCAAACAAGAACACUUCCCACUACUUAUGGCUCAGGAUGGGUUUUGGUUUAGCCUAAACCUAAUCAUGUAGAAACCGAAAUCAAACCCCAACCAACAGUAAGAUAACUUAGACAGAAAACAUCACUAGGGAUGUUAGAUGUUUAUCAAAACCGGUUCCAAGAGAAUGCAACGGGACUUCUAACUUCGUGCUGCGGAUUGCUCCAAGUGAUGGAUCCAAACUCAGCCUUGUUCGUCAUACUCACUCCUUUCUUGCUAACAAACGUGACUGUGUACCUCUUCUUCUCUCCCACGCUUCUAAACGCAAGUUUUGAUGGUUUAACUGAGAUCGCAACACUAGGAGCUCCAUUAACCGUCACUUUGUAAACCGAGUUUUCUGCACCAACAUUUGUUACUUCCCGAGUGUACCGCACAACUCUUUUACCCCCAAACAAAACCGAGAAACUUGGGUAGUUGAGCUGACCAGGAUCUGAGAACUUCUUUGAGCAGUUGACGCUAGGUCGCUUCACAAUCGCAACAAUGUGAUCUACUGUGUAGUCUAGAGAGCACAAGAACCUGAUGUAUUCCUCGGUGGAGAUAUCGUAGACAAGACCCGGUGAGAGAGCCUUUUGAGGAUCUACAUGGCCCGAGCCGUGAGCAUGUGGGUUAGAGAGGCUGUUGUCUGCAGCAUCAUGGAGAGGGGCGUUGGUGUUAUCAAGAACGUAAGCUGUGGUCAUGAGGGCUGAUUUGAUAGCACUCGGACUCCACUCUGGGUGAGCUGCUUUCAAAAGACCAGCUAAACCACUGAUGUGUGGGCAUGACAUUGACGUACCUAACAAAAAUCAGACACUUUUCAUGUCAAACAAAACAAAUCCAAACCCCUCUUUAUAACCAUAGAUAAAUCAAUAACUGAAAUAUAUAAUCAAAAUCAUGCUUUAAGUUUUUUAUGAAGAGGGUAAAAACUAAAACUUCCAAGAAUCAGACCCUUUUCAUGUCAGAACAAAUCAAUAAUUUGAAUAUGCAUAAAACCAAGUUUCAAAAUUGAGCAUCUUGAACCCGUGAAGCUUCAUAAUAGUACCUGACAUGAUGUUGAACUGAGUCCUCCUUGAGUCCUUCUCAAGACCAGUAGGACCAAUAGCAUCAGACCAACCAGCCAAAAUGUUAACCCCAGGACCAAUAACAUCAGGUUUCAAGAUUUCAGGAGUUACAGUAUUUGGACCUCUUGAGCUAAAAGCAGCAACCACAGGAGACGGCUUAACAUCAAGAACCGUUCCUUUAAAAACAAGAACAGCAGUUGGAUUAGAAUCUGACUUAACAUACUCUCUAAGUAAAUCACCCGUCUUCUUCCCUACAGCAACCGCGGGAAGCAAAUGACUAUCCGCCACAAGCUCCUCUCCACUCGCCGCAGUAUUCGCCAUUAUCAUCCCCAAACCACCAGCAUCUCUAACCACAGCUCCUUUCUCAACUCUAGCAUUAACACCUCGAUCACAAACAACGAUUUUACCACGAACAAUACCCGAAUCAAGCGAACCAGGUAAACAAAGAUUACUCGAACUACUAUUCCCUUUAUUAUAAACCAACUCAAGCGGUUUCGUCCCCAUUCCUACACCGCUAUAAAGCGAAACACCGGUAAGUCUUUUCCCGUUACCGAGAUUCGCAAAAGCCGGAAAAUCUCUAUCUAAAGUCCCAGCACCAACAGUCAUAACCCAAGGCGCAACAUUAGCAACAGAAGCUCUAGUCGGACCACUAUUCCCAGCUGAACAAGACACAAAAACACCUCUCUCCAUAGCCGAAAACGAUCCAAUCGCAAUCGUAUCGCGAUAAUACGGAGCCGAACCACCACCAAGAGAUAACGAAAGCACAUCAACACCAUCAAGUAUAGCUCGAUCCAUAGCAGCUAGAAUAUCAGAUCCAAAACAACCACUACUCCAACAAACUUUAUAAGUAGCAACACGAGCAUGAGUCGCCAUACCUCUGGCCGUACCGGCGGCGUAACCGAGGAAACUAGCGUUUCCAACGGCGGAUCCAGCGGCGGUUGUUGAAGUAUGUGUUCCAUGUCCAUCAACAUCACGAGGAGAAACAGAUUCACGUUUACUCGAAAAACCACCUCCUGACGCCAUUUGAAACCCUUUGGAGAAGCUUCUAGCUCCGAUUAGCUUCUUGUUACACAACUUCGAAUCGAAAUCGGAACCAGAUUCACAUUCACCUUUCCAUUUAGAAGGAAUCUCAGGCAUAUCAGUAUCAUCAAAACUUUUAGAUUCAGGCCAAACACCAGUAUCUAAAACUCCGAUGAUAACGCCAUUAGAAGCAGAAGCAAGAUCUUGACCAGUGUAAACACCGAAUUCGGAAUUGAGACCGAGAAAUUCAGGAGUACGAGUUGUGUGAAGUGUGUAGAGAGGAUCUUCGAAGAUAUCGAGGAUUGAGUUUGAGGAGAGGAGAGAAUCGGCUUCGUUGGAGUCGAGGUAAGCGGAGAAGCCAUGGAAGGAGGUUGUGUAAGUGUAGAGAAGAGAAGAUUGUGAUUGGAGUUGGGAUGUGUACCAAUCGUGGUGAGUGAGGAAUGAUUCCGGUUUAUCGGAGUGUUUGACGCGGAUGAUGUAGGUUUUUUUGGCGGUGGUGUGGAGGAGGAAGAGGAAGAGGAAGGUGGUGAUGGUGAUGGAGGAAGAAGAAGCCAUGAGUGAGUGUGUGUGAAUGAUGAUGAUGAAGUAGAGAAGAAGAGAGUGUUAAAGAGAAUUGGAAUAAGAAGAAGAAGAGAGAGAGAGAGAGAGAGAAAGAUGGGAUUUAGAAGGGGAAAAAAGAGAAGGUGGCCACGUAAGGGACGUGUGACCGUUAGAAAAAUAACGGAAAUGCCAUCGUCGGUGGGGUUUUGAAAAGAGUGUGUGUGGGAAACACAGCUGGAGACACGAUACG
rnacentral:lncRNA from 1 species